rnacentral:rRNA from 1 species
UACAGAGGUGGCAAGCGUUGUUCGGAAUUACUGGGCGUAAAGGGCGCGUAGGCGGCUUGGUCAGUCCCGUGUGAAAUCCCUCGGCUCAACUGAGGAAGUGCAUCGGAUACUGGCGGUCUUGAGUCCUGGAGAGGGUAGCGGAAUUCCCAGUGUAGAGGUGAAAUUCGUAGAUAUUGGGAGGAACACCGGUGGCGAAGGCGGCUACCUGGACAGUGACUGACGCUGAGGCGCGAAAGCAUGGGUAGCAAACAGG